GACGAACGCUGGCGGCGUGCCUAAUACAUGCAAGUUGAGCGCUGAAGGUUGGUACUUGUACCAACUGGAUGAGCAGCGAACGGGUGAGUAACGCGUGGGGAAUCUGCCUUUGAGCGGGGGACAACAUUUGGAAACGAAUGCUAAUACCGCAUAAAAACUUUAAACACAAGUUUUAAGUUUGAAAGAUGCAAUUGCAUCACUCAAAGAUGAUCCCGCGUUGUAUUAGCUAGUUGGUGAGGUAAAGGCUCACCAAGGCGAUGAUACAUAGCCGACCUGAGAGGGUGAUCGGCCACAUUGGGACUGAGACACGGCCCAAACUCCUACGGGAGGCAGCAGUAGGGAAUCUUCGGCAAUGGACGAAAGUCUGACCGAGCAACGCCGCGUGAGUGAAGAAGGUUUUCGGAUCGUAAAACUCUGUUGGUAGAGAAGAACGUUGGUGAGAGUGGAAAGCGCAUCAAGUGACGGUAACGACCCAGAAAGGGACGGCUAACUACGU
rnacentral:rRNA from 1 species